rnacentral:rRNA from 1 species
UACGUAGGCAGCGAGCGUUGUUCGGAGUUACUGGGCGUAAAGGGCGCGUAGGCGGCUUUGCAAGUCGGGUGUGAAAUCCCCAGGCUUAACCUGGGAACUGCAUUCGAGACUGCAUUGCUAGAGUAUGGGAGAGGGAAGUGGAAUUUCCGGUGUAGCGGUGAAAUGCGUAGAUAUCGGAAGGAACAUCAGUGGCGAAAGCGACUUCCUGGACCAAUACUGACGCUCAUGUGCGAAAGCGUGGGGAGCAAACAGG